rnacentral:rRNA from 1 species
UGGGGAAUAUUGCACAAUGGACGCAAGCCUGAUGCAGCAACGCCGCGUGAGGGACGACGGCCUUCGGGUUGUAAACCUCUUUUGGCAGGGAAGAAGCGAAAGUGACGGUACCUGCAGAAAAAGCACCGGCUAACUACGUGCCAGCAGCCGCGGUGAUACGUAGGGUGCAAGCGUUGUCCGGAAUUAUUGGGCGUAAAGAGCUCGUAGGCGGUUUGUCGCGUCUGCUGUGAAAACCCGAGGCUCAACCUCGGGCCUGCAGUGGGUACGGGCAAAUUAGAGUGCGGUAGGGGAGAUUGGAAUUCCUGGUGUAGCGGUGGAAUGCGCAGAUAUCAGGAGGAACACCGAUGGCGAAGGCAGAUCUCUGGGCCGUAACUGACGCUGAGGAGCGAAAGCAUGGGGAGCGAACA